rnacentral:lncRNA from 1 species
CUUGUGGUGGCGCGUGGGGCUGGAUCUGGAGGCGGUGCUUCACCAGAAAGCAUAUCGGAAGCCGGCGUCGAGAAUGGACUGGGUGGUGAAACUAACUGAUUUCCAGAAAGUCACCAAAGCAAGGUGACAAAUCUGCCACUCAAAGGUGAACCAAGUUUCUUGGCUUUGAUACCAUGAAACCUUUGAUGGAAAGAAGAAAAAAGACCUAAAAAUUUGAGAGAAAAUACUUAAUUAUUCCCAUCAAGCCAAUUGGGGUAUAUAUACUACUUACAAGAGUACAUACUAGGUAAGAAAAUAAAUUAAUUCCCUAAUUAUAGCCUAAUCAUAUCCCAAUCAUAACAGACAAUCAUAUCCCUAAUUAUCACUACAAAUCUAGGCUACUUACAGAAAUAAUCUCAACACUAACAUAUCAAUUUCUUUCAAAAAAAUCCAAAAUGUAUUUCCUCUGAGAGAUAAAGCUUCUUCGAUCUAACCAUCUCAAUUCCCAAAAAAUACUGAAAUUCUCUUAGAUCUUUGAAUUAGAAUUCUUGAACUAGUAGCUUCUUUAAUCGAGUCAUUUCUUCUUUGUCAUCUCCUAUCAUUACUCUGUCAACAUAAAUAAUAAGAGAGUAAUUUUACCCCUAUGAUGUUUAAUAAAUAGGGUAUAAUCAGCAUUGUUUUGUUGAUAGCGAAAGAAAACCAUAACUCUACUGAAUCGGCCAAACCAAGCUCUUUGGGAUUGUUUCAAUCUAUACAAUAUCUUCUUUAGCUUGCACAUCUUAGGUUUUUUCAUCAUCAAAUCAGGAUGUCCAUGUAUAUUUCCUCCUCUAAGACUCAAUGGAGAAAUGCAUUUUUCACAUCAAAUUGCUAUAAGUACUAGUCAAUAUUGACAGCACAAAAUCGCAAAAUUCUAAUCGAAUUCAUUUUGGCAACAGGGCAAAUGUCUCUUGGUAAUCCACUCCAUAGAUUUGAGUAUAUCCCUUGCAAUUAGUUUGACCUUGAAUCUUUCAAUUGAUACAUUUUCUUUGUGUUUCAUAAUGAACACCCAUUUGCAGCCAACUGAUUUUUUUCCCAAGUGAAAGAGUCACCAACUCCUAAGUCUCAUUUUUAGCCAAGGCAUUCAUUUCUUCAAUCAUUGCUCCCUUCUAAUUAGAAUAUUUGACAGCUUCAUUCCAAUCCUAUGAAAUAGAAACAGAGAAAAUAGACAAGACAAAGGCUCUAUAAAAUGGAGACAAAAAAUCAUAGGAAAGAAAGUUAGAAAUAGAAUGUUUUGUACAAUACCUAACUCCUUUUCUUUGAACAAUUGAUUUAUUUAGAUCAUUAAUAAGAUUAAAGUUUAGAGUUGACUCACCAAAUAGAAAAGAGGAAGAUUUAUGACAUUGUGUGGGCUUCAUAAUGGCUUUUUUUGCUUCUGUUUUGUCUUUUCUUGAAUAUCUCCUUAAAGCUAGUUUAUCCAAAUGCGCAAUUAUUUUUUCCUAAUCACCAAUAGUCUCCCAUGUAUAUCAUUCUCGUCUUGAGUAAAAUGAUCAUCAAUAGUUUCCCCCUGUAUACUAGUCUCCUCUUUGAGUAAAAUACUCUAGAGUUAUAAAAUUAGGAAUUAUCUCUUCUCUGUCAUUAUCCUCCAUCUGAAAAGGUGAUGGUUAUCCAAUUACAGAAAUGACCCCACAGACUUUCGCUUUUGCAUCUCUAAAAUUGCAAUCAUGGUAAAAUCUUAGUUGGGGUAGUAACAUCCAUAUUUUCUAAAUAGAAAAUGAUAACACUUGUAACCCUUAUGCGUGGGAGAGUAUCCAACACACACACAUUUAAAAGCCUCCGGAUCGAGUUUUCUACCUAUUUUAGUAUGAAUAAAACACGUGCACCCAAACACCUUUGGUGGGACAGUAUAAGCAUUUUUUCCUUAUAGCACCUCUAAAAGACUUUCAAAGGCAAGAGCUUUGAAAGGCAUUCUAUUAACGAGAUAAACUACAUUUCUCCAAUAGGCUUUUGGAAAAUUCAUGGUGAAAAGGAGAGAACUCGCUAAUUCCAAUAAGUGUCUUUUUUCUUUCAACAACAAUAUUUUGGACACUAGUGUAAAGACAAUUAGUUUGAUGUAGCAUCCCAUUAAAACUCCAGAAAAAUGUCUAUCCAAGUACUCUGUGCCAUUAUUAGUUCUCAAAACUUUUAUCUUAGCAUCAAAGUGAGUACAAACCAUCUUGUAAAAAGAUUAAAAGCAAGAAAACACAUCACUUUUUACCUUUAUCAAAUAAACCCAAGUCAUGCAAAUGCGGUAAUCAAUAAAAAUAAAAAACCAACAAUUAUCAGAUAGUGAGACCGUUGGAAUCUGUCCCCAAACGUCAAAAUGGAUGAUCAGGAAAGGGAUCGUACUUCUAUUGUUGCUUGAAGGAUACGAGGUUUUUAUAUACUUAACAUACUCACAAGUAUCACAAACUAUAAAAUCUCUAAAACAAAUUAUAAAACUGGCCUAAAUGCAAUUUGGCCAUACAUGCAUUACGCAAUCUGAAAUUGUGUUGUGCGUCCACAUGUGAUGAAGAGAGUAUGACUUGUUUUCUUAUUUUCCCAUGCUUCCCAAAUAUAGUUCUCAUUUCGUAAGCCUUGAAUUAAGCGAUGGUAACUUGAUUUAUCAUGAUUUGGAGUUUUCCAUUUCAAAUCUUUGAAGCAUCGUAUUACUUCCUUACUCGUAUUAGGAUGCCCUCUUCCAUAGUGUCCGAUAGGGAUAAGUUGUUUACUAGUCUAUGUAGGAAGGAGCUCUUCAAAGCUUAGGAACAAGACUUUCUUAUAGUAUAGCAUACCACCCCUAAUCUGAUGGCCAACCAGAAAGGUUGAAUUAGUGUCUAGAAGGGUAUUUGAGAUGCCUUGCUUUUCAGCAACUGGCUUUAGCAGAGUGAUGGUAUAAUUCCAGUCAUCAUGGGCAUUAAAAAUGAAGAAUUUUGGGAAAAUUUUAAGUAUUCUUGUAUUUCACUCUUAAUUUUUACAAUUGGUCUACAUGACUAUUUAUACACAAAGAAUGAUAUCUAAACAGGAAGCAAAUAAUCAAAUAAUAAUUACAGAGAUAAUUAAAGAUCCUAAUCAGAUCAAAUCAUAUCCCUAGAAUCACCUAGGAUCAGCAAAUAAGUCAAAACUCCCCUCAAGUUGGUGCAAAGAUGUCGCACAUGCCCAACUUGCAAAUCAGAUUAUGGUAGAUCUUGUUUUUGAGCCCUUUAGUAAACACAUCCGCAAGUUGCCCAGUAGAAGUCACAUGAACUACGCUCAAGACACCGACUAUUAAUUUUUCUUUAAUGAAGUGCCGAUCAAUUUCAAUGUGUUUCGUUCGGUCAUGUUGGACUGGAUUUUGUGCUAUACUUAUAGCAACUUUAUUAUCACAAUACAAGGUUAACUUGUUUCUCUCGGGCAAUCUCAACUCUUCCAAUAACUUUUGCAACCAUAAGAGUUCACACACACUUUAGGCCAUUGCUCUAUAUUUUGCUUCAGCACUUGACCGAGCAACAACAAUUUGUUUUUUGCUCCUCCAGAUAACAAGGUUCCCUCCCACAACUGUGCAGUAGCCAGAGGUAGGUCUCUUAUCAUCGAGAGAUCCUGCCCAAUCUGCAUCUGUAAAAGUUUCAAUUCGGAGGUGACCAUGUUUAGAGUAAAGAAGCCAUUUCCCUGGCGCAGACUUUAGGUAUCUCAAGAUGUAAAGUACAGCCUGCAUAUGAGUCUCGCGAGUGUCAUGCAUGAAUUGGCUGACUAAGCUAACAGCAUAGGCUAUAUCCGGUCGAGUGUGCAAGAGAUAAAUCAACCUUCCUACCAAUCUCUGAUAUCUUCCAAUAUCCACGGACUCACCAGUUCCUUUCAGCUUGUGAUUACUUUCAAUGGGAGAUUCUACUGGUUUACACCCCAUCAUACCAGUUUUUUCCAAAAGAUCCAGAAUGUACUUUCUUUGGGAGAUCAAAAUUCCUUUUUCUGAUCUAGCCACCUCAAUACCUAGGAAAUAUUGCAGUGUUCCUAGAUCUUUGAUUUCAAAUUCCUGAUUCAACAACCUCUUUAGUUGAGCCAUUUCCUCUAUGUCAUCAUCUGUCGCCACUAUAUCAUCAACAUACACAAUAAGAAGGUGACUUACCCUUGUGAUGUUUGAUAAACAGAGUGUGAUCAGCAUUGCUUUGUUGGUAACCAAAGGACAUCAUGGCUCUGCUAAACCUGUCAAACCAAGCUCUGAAAGAUUGUUUUAGCCCAUACAAAGCCUUUUUUAACCUGCACACCUUUCCUUGUGUCUUCUCAUCAGCGAACCCAAGAGGAAUUUCCAUGAACACUUCUUCCUCUAAAUCUCCAUAGAGAAAAGUAUUUUUCACAUCAAACUGUUAUAAGUCCCAAUCAAAGUUGGCUACGCAAGAUAAUAGAAUUCUGAUUGAAUUCAUUUUUGCCACUGGAGCAAAUGUCUCUUGGUAAUCCACUCCAUAGGUUUGGAUGAAUCCUUUAGCAACCAAUCUAGCCUUAAACUGUUCAAUUGUACUAUCAGAUUUGUGUUUUACUGUGAACACACACUUACAGCCAACGAGUUUCUUCCCAGGUGGGAGAGUAACAAGCUCCCAAGUCUCAUUUUUAGCCAAUGUUUUCAUCUCUUCAAUCAUUGCUUCCUUCCAUUUAGGAUCUACAAGAGCUUUCUUCCAAUCCUGUAGAAUAGACACAGAGAACAUAGACAAGGCAAAGGCUCUAUAUGAAGGAGACAAGGAUUCAUAAGAAACCAAGUUAGAAAUAGGAUGUUUAGUACAAGAUUUGACCCAUUUUCUUUGUGCAAUAGGUUUAUCUAAGUCAUUGGAGCAUUUAAAAGUUGUGGGUAACUUACCAGAAGAAGAUUCUUGACUAGGUAACUCACCAGAAGAAAAUUAUUGACUCUAAGUAGAUUGCAUAAUGGCUUCUUCUACCUUGUCUCUCCUCGAAUAUCUUCUUAAAUCUGACUUGUCCAAACGACCAAUUCUUUCUCCCUAACUGGACAUCUCCCCUGUCUACUAGAAUUCAAACUCUCUAGUUGAACCAUAUUAUUCAGAAUCACAAAAUUUGGAAUCACCUCUUCUUACUCAUUAUUCUCCCCCUGAAAAGGUGAAUGGGCAGUAGUACUGAAGUAGGGUUCAGUUUCUCGGAAGGUAACAUCCAUACUGACUAAGUAUUUUCUAGAGGGAGGGUGAUAACACUUGUAUCCCUUUUGUGUCGGAGAAUACCUAAUAAACACACAUUUAAGGGCCUUGGGGUCCAAUUUCCCUGUCAUCCUAGUAUGGACAAAAUAAACACACUCAAAUACUUUUGGUAGAACAACAUAUGAAUUCUUCCCUUGUAGAGCCGCCAAAAGACUCAUAAAGUCAAUGGUCUUGAGAGGCAUUCUAUUUAUAAGAUAAGCAGAUACAAGAAUUGCAUCUCCCCAAUAUGCUUUGGGUAGAUUCAUGAUGAACAUAAGAGAUCGAGCUACCUCCAAUAGAUGCCUAUUUUUUCUCUCAGCAAUGCCAUUUUGAGCACUAGUAUAAAGACAACUAGUCUGGUGUACUAUCCCAUUACUCUCCAAAUAAGCAGAAAAGCUACUAUCCAUGUAUUCUCUUCCAUUGUCAAUUCUCAAUAUUUUCACCUUAGUAUCAAAUUAAGUACAGACCAUCUUAUGAAAGGAUUGAAAAUAAGAAAAGACAUCACUUUUAGCUUUAGUUAGAUAGACCCAAGUCAUUCGAGUGCAACAAUCAAUAAAGGUAACAAACCAUUGAUUACCAGAUAAGGAGACAGUUUGAGUAGGCUCCCAAGCAUCAAAAUGAAUAAUCGCAAAAGGAAUUUGACUUAUUAUGACUCAAAGAAUAGGAUGUUAUAGUGUGUUUAGCAUACUCACAAGCAUCACAAAAUAAAGAGCCAAACUGAGUUUUAGCAAACAAAUUAGGACAAAGUUUUUCUAAGACAAAAAUUUAUGAAUGGCCUAACUGCGUGUACCACUGUAUUAUUUCCUAAUUGACAUCUUUAUUUUCUCCAAAACAUGUUUGAGAUAUCGAAGAACCUGAAUCACCCUCCAACAUGUAUAAGCCAUCAUGCAACCUACCAUUGCCAAUCCUCUUCCCUGUGCGAAGAUCCUGAAUAACACAAUGAUCAGGAAAUAAUUUAAUUUUAUAGUUAAGGGCAUUAGUGAUAGCACUGACAGAUAAAAGGUUGAUAAGAAAGUGGAGAAUAUGAAGGACAUAUGAUAAUUUAAUGUUGGAUGUGCAAAUAACAGAACCUGUUCCGGAUAUGGGAGUAAAAGAGCCAUCAGCAAUUUUGAUACUAUCUUUGGUUAGAGAAGAGAAUAAUUGAGAAAGCCUUUAGAAGAGCCUGUUAUAUGUCUAUUCACAUCAGAAUCGAUAAUCCAUGGAACAUUAUUAAAAGAGGAAGCAUUAUCUGACUUUACAAAAUUAAAUGUGGCACCGAAGGAUGAAGAGGUGUCAAUAUGAGACAGAAGGCGCUUGAGACUCUGAAGUUCAUUAGGGGAAAGGAACUCAGUCGUUGUUGUCUCCUUAAAGGACUCCUCCAUUGUUUCUGCUAAAUUAGCUUGAUUUCUGGAGGUAUCUCGUUUUCCUCCACGGCCUCUAGGGGGACGACCAUGUAACUUCCAACAAGUCUCUUUAGUAUGCCGCAGUUUCCCACAAUAGUCACAGUGUAAGUGAUCUUUCUCAGAAGUAGGAGGCUGUGGUGUGCUCAAACUAGUAGUCAACCCAGCCUUUUCAACUGGUGCAAUAUAGAGCAUAGCAUGUUGACGACUUUCCUCUCGUUGAACAUGGGUGUGGGCCUCUUCUAGAGAAGGAAAAGGAUUACUUCCCAACACUUGGACCCGAAUUGGAUCAUAUUCGUUACUCAACCCUGCAAGAAAAUCAUAGACCCACUCCUUUUUAAUCAUUCUCCGAAAUUUGACUGUAUCUCCAGUGCAGUCUGCGUGAAAGUCUUGAUAGUAAUCAAGUUCCUUUUGCCAUGAUAAAGAUUUAUUAACCGUAAAAGAAUAGGAGAUACCAAAGGUUGUACACACAAGAGAGCCCAAUCGAUUCACCAAAAAACCAGGUAGCAGCACAGGAAGGCCGGAAAGAUGGUCGGAAUCGUCGCCGGAGUGAUCGGAGCGGCGAAGCAGCGACAGGUGAUGGGUCACGCGCCGAGAAACGAUGGGGUCACGCGUCGAGAAGGGGAGGCACGCGAGCCUCAUCCGCAUGCUUUUCCAACGUCGGAGCUGGUCGAUCAACCGGCGACAGCCUGGCGAUUCUCCUGGUGCCGGCAGUGAGAGGAGGAGAGGCUCCUAGAUGGGUUAGUACCAAAAAAGGUAGAUCUAGGGUUUUGAAAACCUAAAGAGGAAAAUUUGAAUUUGAACCGUAAAAUCAGGAAAAGGCUUUGAUACCAUGAAUUUUGGGAAAAUUUUGAGAAUUCUUGUAUUUCACUCUUAAUCUUUACAAUUGGUCUAUAUGACUAUUUAUAUAUAAAAAAUUAUAUCUAAACAGAAAGUAAAUAAUCAAAUAAUAAUUACAGAGAUAAUUAAGAAUCCUAAUCAGAUCAAAUCAUAUCCCUAGAAUCACCUAGGAUCAGCAAAUAAUUCAACAAAAAAUAACCAUAUUCAAAACUUUCAAUGGUUAUAAGCAUGGUCCUCUAGCAUUACUACCGAUGGAAGAGGGGUCUGUGGGGCUAACAAAUGUCUUUUUGCAGGUGAGACAGCAAAUAUCCCAUGAUCCGAGACAAUUUGUUGAAGACACAAAACAAAAUGAAAAAGUUUGCAAACAAGAAGAGAUCUAAAAGAGAAUUUCAAAUGAAGGAUUGGAUUUACUUAAAAUUGCAGUCGUAUAGGCAGAGCUCCCUAGCCCUCAGGAAGAAUUUUGAGUUGGUUGCAAGGUUCUAUGGGCCUUAUUAUGUCAUUGCAAAAAUUGGAGAUGUUGCUUAUAAACUCUAAUUGCCUCUUGAGUCAACCAUUCAUCAUGUCUUUCAUGUGUCACCUUGAAGAAGAAGGUGGGGGAUGAGCAUAUUGUUGUUUAGGAUUUGCCUACUUACCAAGAAGAUGUAGUAAUUUAUCCUAAAAAAGUUUUAAAGAAGAGGAUUAUUCUAAGGCAGGGUAAGAGGAUCUAUCAAGGGCUAAUCAAGUAGUCUCAAUUGUCCGUUGAAGAGGCCACUUAGGAGGAUAAACCUUCAUCCUCUCUCAAUUUCCUAAUUUUGAAUCUUCUUAGGGACAAGAAGACUCUGUAGGGGAAGGUAUUGUCACAUAUUCUAGAAGAAAGAGGAAGACUAAUAAGUGACAGAUGUAGUAGAGUUUUGAGGGAAAGGAAUAAGUAGUGCAUUGGAGGAAAAAAUUAUUUGAGACAGUUAUACUUAUAUACUUAAAUAAAAAGGGAAUGGGAUGUAACAAAAAGGCAUGAAAAGAAUGCAAUUAUUAUCCUUUCCCAAACACCUCUAAUUCUUUCCUCAUCAAAUUCUAAAUUCUCCUCUCACCUCCUCAUAUGAUUUAUUCUUCUCUUUUCUCAUCCCAAUAUACUACCGGUCAAGAUCCAGAUCUCUUGACACCCUGCAAGUCCAAUGAGAGGUAGUAACCUUGCCAGCUCAAUGAGGGAGCUAAAAACCCCUAUAUAAAAAAUUUUUAUCUGAAUUUUUUCCAUACUUCAUUUAGAUUAUAAGUUUAAAUAUACAUGUUGGAAAAAUAAAAUUAGAAAUGACAAGAGAUUACAGAUUGGCUUAAUUUAUUCCCAUAAUCUUGGGAUUGAUAAGAACUAAUUACUAGUAAAUCCCUACAAUUAUGAAGAUCGUUAUCUUUCUUGACCACACUUGUAUUCUUGAUUCACUACAAUGAUAUCCAUUCCCUACUUUGUUCACUAGCCAUCUGACCAUCUUUACUUAAACCAAUAGGUCACCAUACUUAUUGGCUCUUUCCAACUAGUUAUCCAACCUGGAGUUAUCAACCCUCAAGCUGAUAAUCUUUUCUUUAUUCACUCAGACAUCUCGCUCCCUUUACUAAAACUAGCUGAUCAUGCUCAACCGACUCCUUUCAGCUAAUCAAGACCUAUGUGUCAAUUCUUCCUUAUUCACUUGAACAUCUGGUCUCCUUUACUUGAACCAGUCAACUGUCCUCAACUGACUCCUUUGAACUAGUCAAACAAAUCUACAUCAUUACUAGUCCUGUAGUCCCCAGCCUUCAACCAAAUCUCCAGAUGAGUGUUUCCCAUCCUUUGGUUGAUCAGUUCCUCCUUUCUCUUACUAGAUCUGUAGCAUGACAAAGAAAGAAGACAUGGGGAAUGAACUUGUUAUUAGGCUAAUCACUACACUUAUCAUACAACCAAUGAAAGAAUAACUCACAAGUAGAUGCUCCGGAAGCUCAAAGCAGUAGAUGUAAACAAGAUAAUUAAUAUUAUAGGACAACGAAGAAGAAGUGCCCAGUGAAUGGAUAAUCAAACCACAAUUAUUAAGUAGCAAAGAGGACCUAGAGCCUAAGAACAAAGCAAAAAUGCAUGUCAAGUGGGGAAGAAAAGAAAGAAAAUUGAAGAAAAGCUAACAAUCUUCAGAGCAUCAAUCUAAGCACCAAGAAAAAUAACACAAAUUAAAUAUAAAUUUAACUAAAAGCGAAGUAGAA